rnacentral:rRNA from 1 species
GAUGAACGCUAGCGACAGGCUUAACACAUGCAAGUCGAGGGGCAGCGGGGUAGGAAGCUUGCUUUCUGCCGCCGGCGACCGGCGCACGGGUGAGUAACACGUAUGCAACCUGGCCGUGACAGAUGGAUAACCGGGAGAAAUCCCGCCUAAUACAACAUAAUGCCGGGAGGGGACAUCCCCUGCCGGCCAAAGGGGGCGACCCCGGUCAUGGAUGGGCAUGCGGCGCAUUAGGUAGUUGGUGGGGCAACGGCCCACCAAGCCGACGAUGCGUAGGGGUUCUGAGAGGAAGGUCCCCCACAUUGGAACUGAGACACGGUCCAA